CACAGGUGGCCUCUGGGAGCAGGGUGACUGAGGCCUGACAGGUGCAGCUUGUUACCUCAUCAGGCAGGAGGCUUAGAAGGAGCUUGAUGCCAGCACUUCAACGCUAGAGUGUUAACCUUUAUGUGGUAGCCUUUGUGUUCUGGAUUCCGUCUCCAGAAGCUCCCCGGUUCUCUCUCAACUAGACUCAAAUCAACAAAGGACACUCCCUGCUGUGUUUCCUGCCGGCUGCCUCCUGAGUUCCACGCCCUAGUCGAACCCUGCUCACCCUCCAACUGUUCCACCUCUGGAGAACGGGCACCUCAUUGUUCACCACUGUCACUCCUCAGACUCCACUCAUUCCUCCCUGGCGAUUCCACUCAUCUCCAUCACUGAAGAACCAGACCCAGCCCAGAACCUCCAACCUCCAGUUAUUGCUUUUUGAAAAUA